rnacentral:rRNA from 1 species
UCCACGCCGUAAACGAUGUCAACUAGCCGUUGGGGGUCUUAGUACCUUUAGUGGCGCAGCUAACGCAUUAAGUUGACCGCCUGGGGAGUACGGUCGCAAGACUAAAACUCAAAGGAAUUGACGGGGGCCCGCACAAGCGGUGGAGCAUGUGGUUUAAUUCGAUGCAACGCGAAGAACCUUACCAGCUCUUGACAUCCUGCGAACUUUCUAGAGAUAGAUUGGUGCCUUCGGGG